UACUCCCGCCGGCGACCGGCGCACGGGUGAGUAACACGUAUGAAACCUGCCCGUAGCAGGGGGAUAAGCGGAAGAAAUUCCGUCUAAUACCGCGUAACAACCCGAGGAGGCAUCUCCUCGGGUUUAAAGGAAGCGAUUCCGGCUACGGAUGGUCAUGCGUCACAUUAGCUAGUUGGCGGGGUAACGGCCCACCAAGGCGACGAUGCGUAGGGGUUCUGAGAGGAAGGUCCCCCACACUGGUACUGAGACACGGACCAGACCCCUACGGAAGGCAGCAG
rnacentral:rRNA from 1 species